rnacentral:tRNA from 1 species
GGGCUUGUAGCUCAGGGGAAUAGAGCGCGUGGCUACGAACUACGAAGUCGGGGGUUCGAAUCCCUUCUUGCCCU